UACGUAGGGGGCAAGCGUUGUCCGGAUUUAUUGGGCGUAAAGAGCGUGUAGGCGGCCAUGUAGGUCCGUUGUGAAAACUCGAGGCUCAACCUCGAGACGCCGAUGGAAACCAUGUGGCUAGAGUCCGGAAGAGGAGAGUGGAAUUCCUGGUGUAGCGGUGAAAUGCGCAGAUAUCAGGAAGAACACCCGUGGCUAAGGCGGCUCUCUGGGCCGAUACUGACGCUGAGGAGCGAAAGCGUGGGGAGCAAACAGG
rnacentral:rRNA from 1 species